rnacentral:lncRNA from 10 species
UCAAGGCUUGCUGCUGACAAAAUAUAAAUCAUGCCAUAUGAUGCCAAUUCUAAAAUGCCAUUAAUUCUCCUCCAUUAACCCCUGCAGAGUAUUCACUGACUGCUGAAACUAGAGCAUCACUGAGAAGCAAGAGAUAGACUGACCUAACUAGAGGGAGAGCUGCCAUCCAGGAUGAUGCCACCAUCACAGGAGGUGAGAAGGAACACAGCAUCUUCUGCAAAUGCUACAGUAAAUAGGGACGGGGUGCAGGUAAGAUCACUGACCCCAGGUCACUGACCCCAGUAUUCUCAGAGCCAACAGCUAACUUUGCAGGAGAGCCCUGAGCCAAUUACUAGAUAUGUAAACUUUAAAAAAAAUGCUUAAGUCAUCAAAAUUUAUUUUUUUCAAUGGC